rnacentral:rRNA from 1 species
GACAGAGGCCACGAGCGUUGUUCGGAAUCACUGGGCAUAAAGCGCACGUAGGCGGCUGGGUCCGUCCGAUGUGAAAGCCCCCGGCUCAACCGGGGAAUUGCAUCGGAUACAGCCCGGCUUGAGGACGGUUGGGGUGAGUGGAACUCCUGGUGGAGCGGUGAAAUGCGUAGAUAUCAGGAGGAACACCGGUGGCGAAAGCGGCUCACUGGACCGUUUCUGACGCUGAGGUGCGAAAGCUAGGGGAGCAAACGGG